AGAACGAACGCUGGCGGCAUGCCUAACACAUGCAAGUCGAACGUGAUCCAUGACUUCGGUUGUGGUGAAAGUGGCAAACGGGUGAGUAACGCGUGGGAAUCUGCCCAGAGGUAGGGAAUAACCGCGGGAAACUGCGGCUAAUACCCUAUGUGCCCUACGGGGCAAAGAUUUAUCGCCUUUGGAGGAGCCCGCGUCGGAUUAGGUAGUUGGUAGGGUAACGGCCUACCAAGCCUACGAUCCGUAGCUGGUCUGAGAGGAUGAUCAGCCACACUGGGACUGAGAUACGGCCCAGACUCCUACGGGAGGCAGCAGUGGGGAAUAUUGGACAAUGGGGGCAACCCUGAUCCAGCAAUGCCGCGUGAGUGAUGAAGGCCUUCGGGUUGUAAAGCUCUUUCGGCGGGGAAGAUGAUGACGGUACCCGCAGAAGAAGCCCCGGCUAACUUCGUGCCAGCAGCCGC
rnacentral:rRNA from 1 species